CAGCUGCAGGAGCUGGAGGACAUUUUCCGUCGCACUCCGUACCCCGACGUGCUCACUCGAGAGGAGAUUGCAGGACGGCUGAAUUUGACUGAGGGCAGAGUGCAGGUUUGGUUUCAGAACAGAAGGGCCAAGUGGAGAAGAGACCAGAGGGCACUGAUGUUAAGAAAUCUGGCCCCCGUCGCCAUGGGUCCCCCUGUGGGGGUAGUCCUUGAUGGGCUCUAUCCUGCAGUCCCUGUUCUAGAGCCUGCAUGGAGAUGGGUUCCUCUAGUGCAACUAGUGCCACCUGGGCCAGUCCCACUACCUAUGGUACCCGAGCCGCCUCUGCCACCCGGGCCACCCGCGAUGCCUGUGCCACUCCCACCAGCUGCACCUCCCUUUGCUCUGGCCCCUGUAGGUGUGGUAUGGGCCCCUGUUGUCAACGGUCCUUACGCAGGCCCCAUUUUCUGAAGUAUGGUCUUCAUGACAAUUUUUCCAAAGUAUUUUUCUGCCAGAUAUGAAUUGUGCACGGCACAUCAAGAGUUAUUCAUCAAAUACCUGUUAAAUGAAUUGAAUAAAUGAACAAAAUCAGUGCCUAUUGUUUUUGUAGGGCACAUUGUAUUUUCAAUAA